AUGUUUGCAGCACCCGGAAAAAAAAUUCUAGACACGGCUUGGUCCUGUGGCCCGGUGGCAGAGCCAGUAGCAGGCACAGUGAAGCUUUUUGUCAAAUGCCUGCCCAGAAAAAGAAAGAAAGGAAGGAAAUUAGGAAGGAAGGAAGGAAGGAAGAAAAAAAGAAAGAAAGAAAGGACGGAUGGACGGGCAGGCGUGGGGGAGGGGCGGGCCAUCGCCAUGUGCGCCAAGGCGCCUAGAAAGGACGGUCCGGCAGGCGUGGGGGAGGGGCGGGCCAUUGCCCUGUGCCCCAAGGCGCCUAUAACUGCAGCCUACGUGCAGGAGCACAAUUCAGGCUGGCCAGCCAGGCCACAGGGACUUCUGGUAGUCACUUGUCAUGCUAGCCCCAGCAUGAAAGCUCCCCUGCCUCCCUUAAAGGGAACGUAUCCACAGGGGAGCAGAGAUCAAAGCUUUCACAGGCAAGGCUGUCAGCAGGGAAGAAAGCAGCAGGUAUAGACUGAAGCAGAAAGAAGAAAUGCUAAACGAACAAGAGGAAGAUGAGUCACAAGAAUUUGUCCAGACAGACAGUGGUGGCACACGUGUUUAAUCCCAGCACAAAGGCAGAGGAAAGCAAUCUCUGAGUUCGAGGCCAGCCUGGUCUACAUAUAGAUGGCUAGGGCUGUAAAGAGAAACCCUGACUCAAAACAAACAAACUAAAAACAUCUCUUUCCUGGAGAUAAUAGGACAGAGCAUUUGUGAGUCAUGAGAUACUAGAAUAAGCAUGAAGUCUGACUAUUGCCAUUACAUGGUGGCAUGCCACUGGGAAGGCAGAUUGAUGACUGACACAGUGAAGGCCAGUCCAUUUUAUUUUACUGCCAGCUGAAGAUGAAAAGGGCAGGAGUAGUUGAUUGUCAUCUAAAUUAAGCACAGGACAUCUUUUUCCCUUCAAGAUGCUGCACGGCUUACAUAAAGAUAUCCCCCUUGAAUUAAGUGUAAUUUGGUUCCAGACCAUCCCAAAGGACUCAUUGGAUAACUGGAAAGAAUGGCAAGUAAAGCGCUCGCAACAAGUGUGUAAGCCGAAUCCUUUGGAAUGCAGGACAAGAUGGGGUUUUCAGAAGAUGCUAUAAGAUCACUUCCUCUUGGGCAACAACCUGAACAUUGUUCUCUAACUAAAAUGGCUAAGAGCAGUGGCUACUCUUCCAGAGGAACACAGACCCCCUCCCCACCCCCCCAAUUCCUAGCACCUACAUGGCAGUCCACACCUGUCUGUAAUUGCAGUUCCGGGGAUUUUAACACAUUCACACAUAGGUGCAAAACACCUUUGCACAUAGGAGCAAAAACACCUUUGCCUUAGGAGCAAAGUGACCUCAGAGCCUGGUCUCCCGACACAUAAGGAAUGCUUCAUGAAAGAAGGUAGGAAGUCAAUCUUCCUUUGCCAGCUCCAAGAAGAGAGACUCUUCCCUCUUAGGGGAAGGAGCCAAGAGGCCAAAGAUGGCCUCCAAACCAUGUACACCUCAAGAAGCAAAGUGGGAGCCGAACUCCACCAGCUUGGGUGAGAGACACUAAAGCCCCCACAGAACUUUGCCUUGGAGCUCAGUCCCUUACUGACAUGGGACUCAGCAACAGGAGGGGAACAAGUUGUAGCUCACAGAGGGAAACUGUCUUAGGUUUCUAUUGCUGUGAUGAAACACCAUCACCAAAAAGCAAGUUUGGAGGAAAAGGGUUUAUUUGGCUUAUACAUCCACAUUGCUGUUUACCACUAAAGGAAGUCAGGACAGGAACUCAGAAGGGCAGGAUCCUGGAGGCAGGAGCGGAUGCAGAGGCCAUGGAGGGUGCUGCUUACUGGUUUGCUUCCCAAGGCUUGGUCAGCCUGCUUUAUUAUAGAACCCAGAAGCACAAGCCCAUAAAUGGCAUCACCUACCAUGGGUUGGGCGCUCCCUAAUUGAGAAAAUACAUUACAGCGGGAUCUCAUGGAGGCAUUUCCUUCACUGAGGCUCCUUCUUUUCUAAUGACUCUAGCUUGUGUCAAGUUAACACACGAAACUACCCAGUACAGAAACUUUAUAACAACUUCAGCAUCAGGCACAGCCUGCACAUGGGCAGGACAAGCAGGUCAUGUGAGCCAUUUGUCCAGGAACCAUUGUUUCUUUCUUUCUCUCCUUCCCCUCCCUCUUUCUCUCUUGCAAAUUGUGAAAUAGGAAGGAAAUAACUGCAAGGAUUUUAUGUGGAUGCCUUGCUUCUCCACAGACAAGUGUAGCACUGAGUGUCCAGAGCACAGGGUGUUUCUUCUCUUGGUUUUUCAAGACAGGGUUUCUCUGUGUAACAGGUCUGGCUGUUCUAGAACUCAUCUUCAUAGACCAGGUUGAUCUUGAACUUAGAGAUCUGACUGCCUCUGCCUCCUAAGUGCUACCAUCAAAAGCAUGUGCCAUCACCACCUGGCUCAGCACAGGGGUUUUGAAGGCAAAGUCCACAUACUAGCUUCUUUCUAAGCAGAUGAAGGGGGUGGGGGUCUCACAGAAGCAAGCAAUUUAAUAGAAGCUAAGACAAGCAGUUACUGGAGGGGAUUCCAUACAAACAGCCAGUUUAACAGAAGCUAACCUAGCAGGGGCAUCUUGAAUAGAUUUGUAAUGUUCCAUGGGAUUCUCUACCAAGGAGAAUCAACUUUAAGUUAACCCUGAAAUUGCUUCAUCAAGAAUCCAAGAUGGGGGCUGGAGAGAUGGAACAGUGGUUAAGAGCACUGACUGUUCUUCUAGAGGACCUGGGUUCAAUUCCCAUGGCAGCUUAUAACUGUCUGUAACUCCAGUUCUAGGGCACCUAACACCUGUAUACCAAUGCACAUAAAAUAAAGUUAAACAAAUUAUUAAAAAAAAAAGAAUCCAAGAUGGCUGGGUGGUGGUAAUGUACAACCAGCAGCAGAUAUUGCUAGCACACAGGAGGCAGAGGCAGGAUAUCUGUGAGUUACAGUCAGGGCUACACUUCCAAGAUGGAAGAAUCUUUGCACUGUCCUGCCCUGUCACAAAUCAAAUGAGAAGGUCAGCAAGGAUAGAACAGCAAAUGAAUUGCGGCACUGAGGAUUUUAACUGAACUGAACAAUUCAGUGGAUGGUUUUAGCAGCAGACUUGAUUGUGUUACUUGAAGUUCAGUUGAAAUUAUACACUCAAAGAAGCAAAAAGAAAAAAAAAUGGAAUAGGGGUGCAGUACGUUGGGGAAUGAAGAAAGUACUGAGUGAAGUCCCAAGUGAAUGUUCAUAGUUGCCACCAGCACAGCAGGUCAAUGACCCUAGCCCCAGCCCCAUGGGAAAAUGACAGAGCCAGGCUCAGAGUGAAAUGGUGAAAAUCUUCACUUCUGGUCCAUGUAUGGAUGUUGAUAGUGUGUAUGGAAUAUGUUGACCAUAGUUUUCUCCCUCAGAUGUGUAUACCUGAAGACUCUUUCUCUACAGAGACUGCUCCUAUUGAGAUUAGGUAAACCUAUCUCCUUUAUUCAGCCAUAUACCACAGUCCCAACUUCCUGUUCAACUGUACAUAACCGAAGCAACUGAGGUAACACCAUCUUUCCCUUAUGUUACCCUGCCUCCAUUUUGUGGCCUCUAACACCCUGCAGUGGUUUAAGUGAGAAUAGUUUCUCUAGGAUCACAUAUUUGAAUGUUUGAACCCCAGCUGGUAGGAUUGUUUGUGAAGGAUUGAAAGUGUGGCCUUGAUGGAGGAGGUGUGUCACUGAAGGUGGGCUCUCUUUCUCUCAGCCAGCCAGCCAGACACACACACACACAGAGUCCCAGUCUCCCCCUCUCUGCCUGCUGCUUGCAGAUCAGGAUGUACCCUCUUAGCUAGGGCUCCAGUGCCAUGUAUGUCAUGCUUUCCACCAUGAUGAUAACUAACCAUAUAAACAUGGCCUUGUUUAUGGGGUCUCUUCACAGCAAUAGAACAGUAACUAAUACACCUCCUGAAUAGUCACAUGUACCUUGGCAACAUAUUCAGAACUGUCCAUGACCCUGACCAUGGCCCAGACGUAUAACCAAAACAAAUGAUGUAUUUUGCCAAGGCAAAUGCUACAAGGUGCCAUUGACCUAUACUGGACGAUGACAUCAUUGUGGGUUUUGUGGAUUUUGCCUUUAUAAACAUUGUACGGUGAACUUUAGUGCCAAGAGUUAUGUGUGGCAAGAGCAUGCUCUUGGUUACCAGCUAGUAAAGAACUCUAUAAUUAGGUCUUAUUUUGUGGUGGCCUGUAACUUUCUUGCCUGAAGUGUAACAUAAAUUUCCAGGAUGCUAUGAUUUCUCCAGCCCAUGUGAAUCAAGUUCUUUGUGUCUGUUAUUUUUUCAUUCCUUUGUGGCACUAACCAGAUUUAAGUUCCCACAAGGCUUGGCAUAGUUAAGUGUAGAGCACUUGCCUAUCAUGAAUGAGGCCCUGGGUACUAUCUUCAGUACUGCAAAACCAAAACUAACAAUCUUGAAAAAUAAAACCACAUAUCCUGAUUUCAGAAAAGAGCUAUACAUCCUUACUUCCAUAUUUUCAAAGCCCAAGGGCAUAAGAUGUACUCAAAGAAGCCUAUACAAAUUGUCAAAGAUCAAGGAAAAAGAACUUUGAAAUCACCAAUAGCAAAGCAAGUUAGUAUUCUCAGAAGCCAUUUGGAAUCCUGAAGGAAGGAAGAUAAAUUCAAAAUUCUGAAAGAAAAUCUUGAAAAGUGAGAAUCAUAAUUGGACAAAAUUGCUGCCAAAAAAAAAAGGGUCAUCCUGGCAAUUGAGAAAAAGGUGGCCUAUAGAAAACCAGUUAGUGAGUGGCACUGCCUGUCUAUCUGCUGGUUGUCAGGAAGGCCCAGCAUUGGGAGGCAGAGGCAGGUGGAUCUCUGUGAGUUUGAAGCUAGCCUGGCCCACACAGAGAACCCUGUCUAAAAACAAGAAGAAAAACAAAUUUGGGCUUGACCUCCUAGUUGGAGCAUGACAUGGACACAGUAAUAGUUGAGUGAUUAUCAGGGAGUAUAUUAGUAAACACUUCUCUCUCUACAGUGCAACCAAAAAUUGACAAGGAGCAACAGAAGAGCCAUGAGGAUAAAAGAGUCUAUUUUGGGAAGUCAUGAUGAAUGGUGUAUAGGAUGGCUGAUUACAUUGUCCCCAGUUAAGGAGCAGAAAAAGAUGAAUUCUAGCUCUCAGCAUACCUUGUCCUUGUUACUCCAACCCAGGCCCUCAACUUAUGGAAGCGAAACUUCCAUCCCCAGUUAAACCACUCUGGAAUCAGCCUCAAAGACAGACCCUGAGGUUAUCUGCUAGGUGAGUCUCAAUCUAGUGAAGCUGACAAGCAAGAGUAACCAUCAUAAGGAACAAAUGCUCUUUAUUAAAAAACUGGGGAUAUAGUUCAGGGAUGU
ensembl:lincRNA